GGAAACACUGCUACCGUGAGCCCUUUGGUGUUGCAAUAAAACGAAGGACUCUGAAGUGGCUUAUCGUUUUCCACUGGGAGAUAAGAUCUCCUAGGAGGUGAAAGGCCGUGUGGCGUUUAGGUGGGGAUGCUGAGCCAUUGGAGACUCUAAAAUAAGCUGCUGCAGUGUUUUGCUAUAGCGGUGUGAAAGCUUGCAGUAAUUUGCCACUACCUCUGUUGUCCUCUAGAUGAAUUUCCAGGGCAACGGGGAGAUUUCAUGCCACGAUGAGGGUUUCCAGGAGCUGCUCCAUGCUUUCCCAGGGUGGUGGGUUUAGCUGUGAGCAGUUGGGCUGGUGGGAGCUGGGGGAGCAGUGCCUCUGACCUGCGGUGGUGUUCUGAAUGCUUCUGUGCUUUAUCCAGAGGAGGAGAAAGAGAGGGAGAGGUGGAGGCUGCCUGCCUUCCUGCAGUGCAUCUCUUGGAGCCGGAGGAGCCGGAGAAAAGGCCACGCGUCAAAAGCUGCAAACAGUGUUCAUGAAGAUGACCUGCAGGACCCUCAGGAGAUGGCUCUGACCAGUCUGUCUCCCAAUGGAAACUACGAAGAUGCUGCUGGAGGUGUGGGCACCUAAAGCUGUGGGCACCUGAUGUGAUCCCUGCCCCGGUCCUGCCUGGCUGGUGCGGAGCUGUGGGAGGAGGAGCUGUGCCCACUCGCCCUCAGAGAGCCCACAGAUUUCACCAAGGUCAUCUGUGGCUGCCAGCAGCCUCUGAGCUCCAUGAAAGAGCCACCCCCUGCCCAUGGGGCUGUGCUGGUGGACACCGGGCUUUGGAGGAGCCCUUUGGGAAUGUAUCCUCCAUCCUGGGCAAGGUGACGUGGGGACUUGAGCUUCCAUCUGCCCAAACAAAGGGAAACGAGCAAAGCUCCCCACUGAGAUUGCUAGAGGUGGCCUCCCAGGCAAACAGAUUCUGCUGCCUUAUUUUUCUGCCUUAUUGCUUUAUUCUGAAGCUGCCGACCUCUCUCUGAUCUGGGGGAAAAAAAAAAGAAAAAGACAAAUAAUGCAGCGGCAUGGAGACUGCAAUGGGACCGAGCACGAAGUCCUGUAUCUACCAGCCAGCUAAAAAGCUUGGAUAUGUGUGAAUAACAUGAAGAAAUGCAGCUCUGGGCAGCAAGCGUAACACAAAAGGUACUGAUAUUGCUGGCAGCUGGAGCAGAGCAUGGUUCUGAGAGCAGGAUGUGUCCGUCUGUCCCAUCGCGGUGCUCACAGGCUGACCAACACGCUGCCCGUGUCGGAGGGAGGCAGACAGGACUGUGAUGUGUGUGUGAGAUGGGUAUGGCACAGGUCUGUCACACCUGGCACAUCUCCACAGCUGUGGUGGCAGCUCCUGGACGUGCCCGCUGCGUUCCCCUCAGUGUGAUGGGGCUGCUUCAUGAACUGAUAGGAAUCCCAGAUCCAACC
rnacentral:lncRNA from 1 species